AGAGGAACAAAGAGGGAAAGAAGAGUGUGGUAAAUUCUCUCUUUCCACAACAGCAUUUUCCAACUCUGAGGACUAAAUAUCUGGUCUGAAUUUGAUACCGGACAAGACUUAUGAUGGUGAAACUAAAACAUAACUUAAAAAUGUAUCUGUGCCAAAAUAAUAAACACGUCUGAGGCUCUCGAACAUUUAGUCUGAACUUUAAAACUUCUGUGUAUAACUUUUGACCCAAACCUUUACACUGCUAUUUUUGAAUUCAAACAUGCUUAGAAACCACAGAAAAAAAAGUUCCACUCAACAGACCAAUCAAAAGCUGCGUCCCCUUCAGUGGAAAAUCUGCGUAUCUCACAACAUCUUCAGUUAAAACUGUGAGCGUAUCUGUAAUGAGAAACAUUUGUACUUUUUAACGUUCAUGACCACAUCACUCAUGGAUCCUCUGCUCAUCAUGCCUUUUCUCUGGGGAGCAGUUUCCUGCAGUUUUAACUGGACUUCUGCAUCAGUGUCUGAGGUGACAGUCAGACAUGGAGACAACAUCACUCUCUAUUGUGACUGUAAAAUGGGAGAUGGAGGAAUGACUGUGUGGUUCAGAAACUGUUUCAAUGAGAGCCAUCCUGUUCUUGUUUUAGAUAGAGAGUACUUCUUUCAUCAUUUAGGGAAAACUCGGUUUAUUUGGACAAAGAAUGUUUCCUCUGAUUCCUACGAUCUGAUGGAUUUUACUACUGUGGAACUGAAGGAAAGAAGGUGGAAGACAAGGAAAAAAUUGAUCAAAAGACGUGGUUUAAUUACAGCAACAUCAUCAGAAAAAUCUCCAUCAGAGCAGUUUCCUGCAGUUUUAACUGGACUUCUGCAUCAGUGUCUGAGGUGACAGUCAGACAUGGAGACAACAUCACUCUCUAUUGUGACUGCAAAAUGGGAGAUGAAGGAAUGACUGUGUGGUUCAGAAACUGUUUCAAUGAGAACCAUCCUGUUCUAGUUCUAGAUAGAGCGUACCUCUAUUCAAAUUUAGGGAAAACACAGUUUAUAUGGACUAAGAACGUUUCCUCUGAUUCCUACGAUCUGACGAUCAUCAAUGUCACUUAUUCUGAUGAAGGAUUUUACUACUGUGCAACUGAAGGAAAGAAGGUGGAAGACAAGGAAAAAAUUGAUCAAAAGACGUGGUUUAAUUACAGCAACAUCAUCAGAAAACUCUCCAUCAAAUCCAGUGAACUCCAUCAUUGCGAAGGUGAGGUACCAUGGAAUCCAGAUGUUUGGUGGAAGCUGCCCCUCUAUCUGUGUCCAGCUGUUUCUGUUUUUCUGGUUUUCUCUGUUUACAAACUUUGUAAACACACAGUAAAAUCUCAAAAUACCAAAAAGAAUCAUCCAUCAAGACAAAUGCAGCAUCAGGAUGCUGCACUGGAAAUCUACCAACCAUCUGUGGGACCGAAGAGGAAGAACGCAGCUCAUCCUUCAACCUUUAGCACAUAUUCUGCUGUCCAAUACACCUCACAUGUGGAUCAUCUGUCAUAAAGGAAACAAGGAAACUGAUGAAGUCAAGUGAACAUUUUUUGAAAACGUUCUUUUUUUUCCAGAAAAUAUUGAUAUGAAAGACCAGCAUUUCACGAAAACUUAUCGUAAAAGUUUUUGUGUUUUUAAGCCAAAUAUUUUGCUGUUAAACUAGGUUCACACCGGCCUCAGCAAUGAGUUAAAGGGACCAAUUUCAAUAAAAAGUUCAUGUAAAAAUGUGUAAAAGUACAUUUGUGUUCAAAUAUUUGCAUUUUCAUGUUCAUUUGGACAUUCUUAAGACUGUUUUCGGGAUCUCCGUACUGAACGCAAGUUGAAAGUUAAACUAGUAGAACUUUGAACAAUCAGGGACUCAGAUUUGAUAGUGACGGGUCAGAGUCAAAGUUGAUCAUGGAGGAGAAAUUCAUAAGGGAAGUUUGUUCCCGGCCAAAAUUAUACUGUAUAAAGUCUUUCGUGAUUUGCACCAAUUUGAUAUUUUGCAUGAAGCCUCUUCCAACUGUCGGUGGCGGACAUGAGCUUAUCUUGGAAAGCGACAGUCCAGGGUGAACACUGUGUGCUAAAAGAGCGUUCAAGAAUCCAUAAUCAGCGUGUUCUUGAACACGUGUCGAAUGCCUGGCGUGAAAGUAGCUUUAGGGUCAAGUGUUGCAACAAUUGCUAAACUUCUGCCCAACUGUUUUUUUUUAUCACAAUGAGGCAUUACAGCAGGACUAAACCACUUUUAACGUCACCUAGGAGUGAGUAAUUGUGUUAUUGACUAUACAAAAGGGGCAAAGUUAAAAAGCCUUGAUACCAGAAAGUAGUGGACACCCUAGAUUUUUCAAAUACACAAAAAUUGUUAAAAUUGAUUGUUAAAUUUUUAUUUUUUGACUUUAUGAAGGACAAAUUUGUUGAUAAAACAGAUUUCCAUGCGUCACAUCUGUGUUUGUGCCCAGUUCUGUGUGAUAACAGCAGACUGUUACUGUUAAGAAUCAAGUUGAACAGCAGCAGUGUUUCUUUUGUCAUGUUUGCAUGUUUGGUUCAGUCUCUGAACAGAACAUGAGACAAUAGCUCUAAAAGGAAACAUUUGUUUCAGGAAACGGCAAAAAACGUUGUUGAUCAUUAUUUUAAGUACUAUUUAUUCAACAAGGCCCCUUCCAGGAAGUUAGAGAAACUCACACCGACCGUAAAUCAGGCUCAGCCACAGUCUAAAUGUGAGAAUUAACAGGAAACCCACACUGAAAAGCUAUGAGCCACAAAAAGACCUAAUGUCGCAGACAUUUUUCUCAAUGAAAAGAUUUCUUAUUAUUUAAAAUAGAAAAAUAGUUUCAAGUUAAAAAAAAAACAUAAUCAUCAAUGUUUUUGUUUCAGAAUGUAAAUUUAGUAUAAAUAAAUGAUGGUUAAACUGGUCUAAAUGAACUUAUGCAGCCCCUUACCCAGUGGUAACAGUUUCACAUGUGAGCUGAUUCAACACACAGAUAAGAGCAAAGUCACUGUGAGUUCUACCUGUUAUAAUGAAAGAUCCAACGUUUAACAAAGGAAGGAAUUACAGGGUGUACCUAUGUUAUAUUUACAUUAAGAUAUAAAAUGUGUCCAAAAUGUCAACAGAUUUUGGGAAACUCCUAA